rnacentral:rRNA from 1 species
GACGAACGCUGGCGGCGUGCUUAACACAUGCAAGUCGAACGGAAAGGCCCCUUUGGGGGUACUCGAGUGGCGAACGGGUGAGUAACACGUGAGUAACCUGCCCUUGACUUCGGGAUAACUUCAGGAAACUGGGGCUAAUACCGGAUAGGAAUCCUUGCUGCAUGGAGGGGGUUGGAAAGCUUCGGCGGUUUUGGAUGGACUCGCGGCUUAUCAGCUUGUUGGUGGGGUAGUGGCUUACCAAGGCUUUGACGGGUAGCCGGCCUGAGGGGGCGACCGGCCACAUUGGGACUGGGAUACGGCCCAGACUCCUACGGGGGGCAGCAGUGGGGAAUAUUGCACAAUGGGCGGAAGCCUGAUGCAGCAACGCCGCGUGCGGGAUGACGGCCUUCGGGUUGUAAACCGCUUUCAGCAGGGGCGAAGCUUGUGGUGACGGUACCUGCAGAAGAAGCACCGGCUAACUACGUG